rnacentral:lncRNA from 1 species
GGCCAAAGAAGAUGUGGAGCAUAGACAAUGGAGAAGUUUUUGUUAAGAAACAGACAAAAUGUUUUCUGUCCUGAAGAAGGAAGAGGAGGAUAAAGAAGUAGCAGAGGACAACAUGGAAGGAAAACAGAACAAAAGCAAGUUUCACAGUACUCUGCAGUGUUCUACUCCUGUAAGCUUACAGCAGUCACUGCUGGAAUCAGGAACAGAAGAAUGUGCUUCUACCUGUCCAGUGUCAGUCUAUGUCAUGAGGAUGUGCUUGGACAUGAGGACCUGGGAAGAUGAGAGAGCUGCAGGCACUGAUGGCUUUGAAGUCAACUCCAACAGGACUCCUGCAUCUUCAUUUAGGUACCAAAAUCAAAGGCUUCCUCACCAGCAGUGCUAUAAGGUCAUGCAUGUUGAUAUUCAGAUUGGACCUAAUGCAGAACAAACUCUUCUGGAGAAAAAUCACCUCCUCUCCUGUUAGCCAUGCCUUACUUCCUGAUGCAGAAAAGGAUUUGGAGGCUCAGAGUGGGAAUUGGCAUCUUCACAAUGAGCAGAGCACCAGCAUUACACUAAUGAGCUGCCUGGCAUAUUCACCUGUGUACCACUCCACUGAAGCCCUUCUCUUUCAUGGUAUGCUGUGCAGAGUGAAGGCAGAGGCAUUGAGGCAGCUCAGGUGGAUGAAAGCCCCCUCAGACUUCGCUGAACAUGACAUAGCCUCCUUCCAUUCUUUCACACCUGCAAGCAAAUGUCUUGAGCCAUGUGGACACAGUCAGGUGAUCCUUGCCUUAGAAGAUCUUCUUACACAUGCUGACACCAAGGCUGCAGAGCAAGUCUUUCCUGAUUUCAUGGUACAGAUGUAAAGGCUGCUUCAUGCAAGUCUGUCCGUUAAACACUUGAUGCCCCACUCACUGCUGGAGCUGCUCUGAAGUCUUCAUAGGAGAUAAAACCAAACAAUGCCUCAAAGUGCUUUUAGAAGAUGCAGAUCCACUACAGCUCUUUCCUUUUCUAGGGAUAGGUUUUACUGGAAACGUUUGGCAGACAGUCAGAAGAUGGUGAGUACCAACAGGUUUCACUGCUGCAUUCACUUUGCUGGGAGAUGCCAUGGAAUGUAAACUUCUCUAAUGACAGCUCCUUCAAACCCUUUUCAGUCUUGUCAAGAUUCCUUAUUAAUAGCAGAGAAGUAAUCUUAGUCCUUUCAGUGGCAGCAAUUCUCUAGGCAACUGCUGAAUUUGUAAGAAUACAGAUGGUGCCUGCCAUUUCUUUUUUUUUCAGUACCACACUGCAUUCCUCACCUGACAUGUGGAACUUGUUUGCUACCAUAAUGCGUCAGCUGCAGACACUUUUCUUAGAGGUAAAAGCAGUUUUGCUUGCAUUUUUCUUGGCAUCAUUGAAUUUUGCCCACCUGCAGGCAAGAUUAAUUUUUUUUCCCCUUCUGAGAUAGCAGAGCUCGUGAUGGUGAUCUGAUUUGAAACUUGUUGGCACUAUGCCUUUUCCUCUCUGCCUCUGUGAACUGAUAGAGCUAAGCAUCGCUCUCCUUGUAAACAGCAAAAAAAAAAAACCAAAAA